GACGAACGCUGGCGGCGUGCCUAAUACAUGCAAGUAGGACGCAGUUGCGAACGGGUGAGUAACGCGUAGGUAACUACCUAUUAGAGGGGGAUAACUAUUGGAAACGAUAGCUAAUACCGCAUACUAGUAGAUGGACCUACGUUGUAUUAGCUAGUAGGUAGGGUAAUGGCCUACCUAGGCAACGAUGCAUAGCCUGCCUGAGAGGGUGAACGGCCCAAAUGGGAAUGGGACAAGGCCCAGACUCCUACGGGAGGCAGCAGUAGGGAAUGUUCGGCCAUGGGGGGAACCCUGACCGAGCAACGCCGCCGGAGUGAAGAAGGUUUUCGGAUCGUAAAGCUCUGUUGUUAAGGAAGCGGUACCUAACCAGAAAGGGACGGCUAACUACGUGCCAGCAGCCGCGGUAAUUC
rnacentral:rRNA from 1 species